GGUCACGGAUGCGAUAGAGGCCCCUCUAGGGUUAUUCUCUGGGAUGUAGGCCCAGUAUGAGGCCUGAAGGAAAACGGGCGAGUUAUCGUUCGUGUCUGCUAUGUCCAGUGCGAGGAAGACCACUAGGAAUGAAGCAAGAGACCUGACCAUUUUCUCCAGAAUCUUGAUCUUGAACGUUUAGAAGAGCAAUUACUGUGCCCGAAGGAGAAUUUUCCGGCACUGAGUUACUGGCAGAGAACUGGGCUUUGUUAGCCACACCUAGGAAGGAAUAUGUAAAUUCUGCAUUGAUGCCCUCGUCUUGAUCCAUUGCCUUUAGCCUUAGGACUGUGGUUCCUGGAGGCAAGUCUUCUGGAAGGCGGACUCUGUACACGUCUUGGCUGAACACUGGGCGGUUAUCAUUGGCGUCCACCACUCGGAUUCGGAGCUGAGUAGUACCAGUACGGGGCGGGUCCCCACCAUCUACAGCAGUCAGCAUCAGGUGGUGUGUGCUCUCUGCUUCUCGGUCCAGCAUCUUUUGCAAUUCUAAUUCUGGGUAUUUACUACCAUCAGGAUUGUCUUUCACCAACAAUAAAAAGUAGUCGUUAGGACUUAACUGGUAUUUACUUAGAGAAUUCAUACCAAUGUCAAGAUCUUUUGCUGACUCCAGAAUUGUUCUCGCCCCUGGGCUGUCGGAUUCACUUAUCUCUAGGUUUAUUUCGUCUUUUGGAAAUUGAGGAGCGUGAUCAUUAACAUCCUCAAUCUCCACAACGACAUGAA
ensembl:processed_transcript Gm26672 predicted gene, 26672